rnacentral:rRNA from 1 species
CGUUUAGGGGUAAACCUGAGAAACCCGAAAGGUCGAAGGGAGGAAUUCAUUCGUUUUUCGACAAUUGAGGCGUUCGUUAUGUUGACAGUAUUUGUUUGUUUCGGCAAAUUUUAUUGCAACUUUCGUUCGUCUAACUUUUGACGAAUUCGUGCACUUUCCUCCUGGUAGGACGUCGCGAUCCGUUGGGUGUCGAUCUAAGGUUUGUGGAGGAGCCCGUUUAUUUUUUCGUAAAGUAAGCGGACCCACAUUUCCCGGUCGACUCGCUCGACGGUAUAUGAAUGGUUCGAGGCCGCUCAAUAUACGGAGCGUCUGACCCGUUACAAGCGCGCUAUUUGUAUCGAAGUUCGGACCUAGUGCCGGACCCGAUCUAUAGUGACUGUUGGUGACGGUGUUCUUGGACAGACCUAUGUAACCAAUCUGCGACGCUAUAGCUUUGGGUAAUUUCAGGACCCGUCUUGAAACACGGACCAAGGAGUCUAGCAUGUACGCGAGUCAUUGGGUAUUUAAUAAACCUAAAGGCGUAAUGAAAGUAAAAGUUUUCCUUGCGAAAACCUAGGGAAGAUAAGUGGUUAAUUUUUUUAAGUUGCCAUUUCGCAUUCCCGGGGCGUCUCAUUCUCAUUGCGAGAAAAGGCGCACCAAGAGCGUACACGCUGGGACCCGAAAGAUGGUGAACUAU